AUUGAACGCUGGCGGCAUGCCUAACACAUGCAAGUCGAACGGUAACGCGCCUUCGGGUGCCGCCGAGGGGCGGAGGGGGGAGGAAUACAUAGGAACGUGCCGGAACGUGCGGGAUAACGGGGGGUAAGGUUGGGUAAUUUAGGCUAAUACCUCAGGAUACCAGCGGGGGACAGCAGGGGAUUGUGCGACCUGGGGGGCCGGUGGGAGCUGAGGUCGGAUUAGCUAGUUAGGGGGGUAAAGGCGCCCCAAGCCGGCGAUCCGUAGCUGGUCUGAGAGGAUGAUCAGCCACACUGGGACUGAGACACGGCCCAGACUCCUACGGGAGGCAGCAGUGGGGAAUUUUGGACAAUGGGCGCAAGCCUGAUCCAGCCAUGCCGCGUGCAGGAUGAAGGCCUUCGGGUUGUAAACUGCUUUUGUACGGAACGAAAAGCCUCCUUUUAAUACCGCGGUGUCCUGACGGUACCGUAAGAAUAAGCACCGGCUAACUACGUG
rnacentral:rRNA from 1 species